UUUUGGACAAUGGGCGAAAGCCUGAUCCAGCAAUGCCGCGUGUGUGAAGAAGGCCUUCGGGUUGUAAAGCACUUUUGUCCGGAAAGAAAUCCUGAGGGCUAAUAUCCUUCGGGGAUGACGGUACCGGAAGAAUAAGCACCGGCUAACUACGUGCCAGCAGCCGCGGUAAUACGUAGGGUGCGAGCGUUAAUCGGAAUUACUGGGCGUAAAGCGUGCGCAGGCGGUUUGUUAAGACCGAUGUGAAAUCCCCGGGCUCAACCUGGGAACUGCAUUGGUGACUGGCAAGCUAGAGUAUGGCAGAGGGGGGUAGAAUUCCACGUGUAGCAGUGAAAUGCGUAGAGAUGUGGAGGAAUACCGAUGGCGAAGGCAGCCCCCUGGGCCAAUACUGACGCUCAUGCACGAAAGCGUGGGGAGCAAACAGGA
rnacentral:rRNA from 1 species